GACGUGAAAAAGCCGCACCGGUCGCUCCAUCUCAGUUGUUUUCCCUCGCCAAACAGAUGCAAAGUCGCCGUCUGGUCCGCCCACGCCGGCCCUCGCCAAGAAGCCUGCCUCGGCAGCGGACGGACGGGAAGCGGGAUUGGGACGCAGGGUCCAGCUGGCCCGACGGCGGAGUCAGCCAGCGAAACAGAUGUGCCAGAGACUUUGAUACAAAUGCUGAGGAGCCAGAUGGCGACGCCCCACAACCUGGACAAGAUGGCCGACAACCCUUGGGCAGAGGCUGACGAGCUCUCAGGCUCAAGUUAAGAAUUGAGACUUGAGCUGGACAUUUGUGACUUUGUCGCUAGCCAGCCAGCCAGCCAGCCAGCCCAGCCAGCCAUCCCAGCAAGCCAGCCAGCCACCUACCUCAAUGACGACUUCAUCCAUGGUCGCCCCCCACCCCCCUCGGUUUUCCGUAAUGAGGCAGCUGAGCCCGCGGGCUUCCGAGCAAGAAGAGGAGGAGGAUGUUUUCAACUUCCCUCGUGUGACUAAAGAGCUGAUUUCUCAU